ACUCCUACGGGAGGCAGCAGUGGGGAAUAUUGCACAAUGGGCGCAAGCCUGAUGCAGCCAUGCCGCGUGUAUGAAGAAGGCCCUUCGGGUUGUAAAGUACUUUCAGCAGUGAGGAAGGUGGAUGCGUUAAUAGCUGCAUUAUUUGACGUUAGCGACAGAAGAAGCACCGGCUAACUCCGUGCCAGCAGCCGCGGUAAUACGGAGGGUGCGAGCGUUAAUCGGAAUUACUGGGCGUAAAGCGCAUGCAGGUGGUUUGUUAAGUCAGAUGUGAAAGCCCGGGGCUCAACCUCGGAAUUGCAUUUGAAACUGGCAGACUAGAGUACUGUAGAGGGGGGUAGAAUUCAGGUGUAGCGGUGAAAUGCGUAGAGAUCUGAAGGAAUACCGGUGGCGAAGGCGGCCCCCUGGACAGAUACUGACACUCAGAU
rnacentral:rRNA from 1 species